AGUGAACGCUGGCGGUAGGCCUAACACAUGCAAGUCGAACGGCAGCACAGUAAGAGCUUGCUCUUACGGGUGGCGAGUGGCGGACGGGUGAGGAAGACAUCGGAAUCUACUUUUUCGUGGGGGAUAACGUAGGGAAACUUACGCUAAUAUCGCAUACGACCUACGGGUGAAAGCAGUGGAUCUUCUGACCUUGCUCGAUUGGAUGAGCCGAUGUCGGAUUAGCUAGUUGGCGGGGGAAAGGCCCACCAAGGCGACGAUCCGUAGCUGGUAUGAGAGGAUGAGCAGCCACCCUGGGAGUGAGACACGGUCCAAACUCAUACGGGCGGGAGCAGUGGGGAAUAUUGGAGAAAGGGCGCAAGCUUGAUCCAGCCAUACCGAGUGGGUGAAGCAGGAAUUCGGGUUGUAAAGCCAUUUUGUUCGGAAAGAAAAGCAGCAGCUUAAUACAACGCUGUUCUGACGGUACCAAAAGAAUAAGCACCGGCUAACUUCGUG
rnacentral:rRNA from 1 species